GUCUACGGCCAUGCCACCCUGAGUGAGCCCGAUAUCGUCUAAUCUCAGAAGCUAAGUAGGGUUGGUUAGUACUUGGAUGGGAGACCACCUAGGAAUACCAGGUGCUGUAGGCA
rnacentral:rRNA from 1 species